UUGAAGGCUUCUGUCAUUAGCUUCGAGGAAAGUAAGUGAAAUAGGCUGGAGUUCAUUAACAUUACGCAAACAAGAGGACAUUUGUGGCCCCAAGUGUCUCGAAUACCUUUCUUGUCUCAGAAAACACAUCCUUGGUUCUUAUCCGCGCCCCCCAUCUCUCUGCUGUUUCUGAUGUGUUCUGUGAGUUGUGGCAAUGUGUUUGCAGUUCACAGGGCUAGCUUUGAGUAGCUUUGGGGUAUCAGUCUCAUGGAUAGUUAAGUGAGGAAGAGCUGUAAGGGAAGAAUGAGCCCAUUUUGCCCUGAGCUAAAGAGACUGCAGGUCUGAGUGACACUAGGAUCUUGGGUUUCAGUUUUUCAUCAGGGAAAACAAGAUAACUGAGCUAGGCAUUUUCUAAUACCUUUUUAGCGAUGCCAUUUUCCCACUUUUAAGCAGAAGGCCACACCCACAAGCCCCGUUUUCUGGCUCACAUGUGUUGCAUGAAUUCCAGUUAUGAAGAGGUGCGGCGGAAGAAGUGUCGCUAUGAUUUAUGAGUGUGUGGCAAUGUAGCCCUGGAAGCCGCAUAGAGGCUUUAUCAGACAUGCUAAGCCUUGGAACAAACUGUUCUGCUGAGCAAGGCAGGGACACAUCAAAGAUGCUGGCACUCCUUGGCUCUGGGGUCUGUGGGUCGCCUGUGCAGUCCUGUGAUGUGGGCAUUUACUUCCAUUUGCUAGGAGAGGAGGAAAACUAUGAGAAUGGAUCUUGGGGGAACCACAGGCACCAAGAGCUUUCUCAGGUGGUGUCAUUGGCAUAAAGACAGAACAUGAUUUUGACCUAAUUCAGAUCACCCAAUCAUGACCCCUGUGAUAUGUUUAUAAC
rnacentral:lncRNA from 1 species